GUGGGGUUGUGGCUCAGUGGUAGCGCACUUGCCUGGCAUGUGUGAGGCACUGGGUUCAGCUCUCAGCACCACA
rnacentral:tRNA from 1 species